rnacentral:rRNA from 1 species
UACGUAGGUGACCAGCGUUGUCCGGAUUUACUGGGCGUAAAGAGCGCGCAGGCGGUCGUUCAAGUCGAGUGUGAAAGCCCCCGGCUCAACUGGGGAGGGUCACUCGAUACUGAUCGACUUGAAGGCAGGAGAGGGAAGCGGAAUUCCCGGUGUAGUGGUGAAAUGCGUAGAUAUCGGGAGGAACACCAGUGGCGAAGGCGGCUUCCUGGCCUGUUCUUGACGCUGAGGCGGCGAAAAGCUGAGGGGA